CUACUUACCCAAUCUUUCUACAGCUCUUUUUGCAGUUUUCUCUGCCUGCGUGUCACUAUGCAAAACUUUGUCAAGUGAUUUCUGAAGUAUAGUUCUUUAAUCACACAACGCAGUAUGACUCCAUUUUCUAGUUAAGCAAAUUGAAGUAUAGAAAAGGGAGAGACCUUCGUCAAGGUCACAUGACUUGUAAAUUUCAGAGAUGGGUCUCUCUGGCUCCAAAGCCACAUUCUGGUCACAUUUGGUCUCUGGUCCAAAGCCGCAUUCUUUUCACCAUAUCAUGCUCUCAGGCAUCAGGAAAGUCUCCAUACGUUCCUGGAAGGUGGUUGACUUCCUGCCUUUCUCAGCAGCCUGUGUCCCAGUUGCUUCCACAUUGCUGACAAGCAAGCCCUUUACUGAGAUCCCUGCUGUAAGCUGCAUUGAAGCCAAGCAUCAGGUCAGGAUACUGUUUACUGGGCAGUGGAGUUGGGAGGGAAAAGCACCAGUGCCUAUGACUUCUGCAUUUUAAUAUUCACUUAACUUUGUAGAGAGUAAUUAUAUUCCACUCAUUCUACACCAGCUGGUAUUUACUUCAUCCUCCAUCAGGCAUCAACAGAGCAUGGGACUGCAAGACAGAAAUAUUACUCUGGUGAGCAUAAAUAUUUCAUUUUUCACACCACAAAUGCGUUGAUGAUUUAUUAAUUAGCCUAAAGGCUGCUGCCUCUGCAGAGCUGAAAAUGAAGCCUUUCUGCUCUAAGAAUUGAGCCUGUCUGGGACACAGUGCCCAUGGGUGAUGCUCAACUGGGAACAGAGCCCAACUUUGUCAAACAGCCUCAUGAUUGCCCAGUCCAAACUUCUCAGGCCCAGUGUUCACUCUUGACUGCCUGCAGAAGCCCUACAGAUAAAUUUUCCAGCCGCAAAAAAAAAUCUUGUUUAUGCCUUUCCAGAAAAUGUAGCUGGGACCACAGCCAACUAGUCUACCUAUCAGCCAGCUGCUGAGAGGAGCCUGCCAGUCAGCUGAAGGGUCAGUGCCUGCCUUUGACUUUGACUCAGCUGCUGAGGCUACAUGACUCAUCCGAGAGUAAGAUACUCAGGAGACCCAAUGGAGCCUCCUCCUUGAGCUUCAGCUGUAAAUAUCAGGAGUCUCAGCCAUAAACCUAGCAACGGGCGAGAUAUUACUUUUCUCCUCUACGAAUGAGACAUUCCUUUGAAACACCAUACAUCAAACUUAUAAAAUGUUUUAUAUGUGGAUUUUAACAGCUAUUGGGAAUUCGCGGUCUCACUAUGUUUCUUGGAACUCCUAAGCUCAAGUGAUGUUCCCACCUCUCCCUCCCAAAGUGCUUGAAUUACAGGUGUAAGCUACAGUGCCUAGUCCCUUUUUCAUAUUUCUUUAGGUAUAUUUUUUCUGUCUAGCCUAUUUUAAGCAUUUCAAACAAAAAGCCGAUGUCAAUAUAGUAUUCAAAAAUGUAGAUGUUUAGAGGAAGUCAAGUAAAUGUACAGGGAGUGGCAAUGUCUUCCUUAUGAGUAGAGCAUCCACCUCAGAGCAAUCUUUGUCUUGCCUUUAUGUUGAGUUCUAGGAGAAUAAAUAAGCAGGAAGCAAAAAGGAGAGAAGUGGGCUGGAUCGCUGUGGUUCCUUCCUAGAGGAGGCAACAAAUAGGCAUUUGCUCAGAUCCUUAUAUUACACAAAAAGAUGAAUUCCUGAAGCCUGUGAAAUUAAAUAUUUUCAAAAAUAAAGCAAUGGAUCUCUAAAAUAAGUAUACGUUUAUUUUUACUCAACUUCUGCAGAGAGGACCUUUGAAGCUAAAAUUCAAUAGAAGAUACCAUAAAUUUAAAAAUUUAAAAAAAACACUUAAAACUAAAUAUCAUAUCUAAAAUAAAAAUGCAAAUUAAAAAGAUAAUGAUUUGGAAAUAUUAGUUUAUUAAUAUCUCUAUCAUAUACAAAUCUCAAGGUCGAUAUUUACAAGAUGACUAGUAACAUCGGUACUGAGCAUAACAUCAAGUGAAGACAGGGGCUCAAACAUUUUCCUGAAGGUAUUAACUACAUAAUUGCAUUCUUGGCAAAUGAGUCAUUAGACAAAUUGCUACAAAUAAACAAAAGCUAGAUACUUAUGUUUUAGGCAGUCUAGACAACCUGAUAACUUAAUGAACAUAAUUGCUGAAAACUAUUAAAAGUUCUUGGUUGAUUAUAGCAAAAAUUCUUUUUAAAUUGAUCAAUGAUAAUGAUUGACAAAAACAAAACGAAACAAAUACAAAACCUCAGGAUUGACAGAAGAAGUGGCAAAUCCUGUCUGGAGCAAAGAAAAUUCAAAACAGAUGUCAAAGAAUUCCCAUAGAUCGAGUUUCAAGCAAUGAGAUCUCUUGGUUAAAGAGCAAAACAAAACAUAUAUGGUGACAACGAGGUACCAUGCAUUAAGGGCAGGAAAAUCAACAUGGCCAAAUGUCCAAUAUUGGAAUUAUUCUUUAGGAGUAUAAGCUUGAAGAAACAAAUUUAAACUAUGUUUAUUUAAAAAAAAACACAUAGAAAAUAACCAACUAGACUUUUCAAAUCAUCAAACUAAGUUCUGGAAAUGGAACACAGUGAGUAAUUAAAAUUAGAAAAUGCAAUAUCUAAGUUGAACAGCUAAUUUAAAAAGCUGAAUAAAGAAUUAAAUAAUCAAAUGAUAGGAUCAAAUGAAAACUAUAAAAAAAUGAAGAACAGUAACAAAGACAGAAAAUUGGGGAGAAAUUUUAAUAAACAUGCAAGAUAAAAAGAUCUAACAUAAGAUCCAUUGGAGUUUCAGAGGAAAUGAGAUAAACUGAAAAUAAUCUAUUAGGAAGAACAGCUACAGUAGUCAAGAGAGUGUGAUAUUGGCAUGAAGAUAGGCAAAAUAAAGUUCAUAAAUAGACCCACACAAAUAUGGACAACUGAUUUUGGACAAAGAGCCAAAAGCAUCUUUAAGUGGAUUUUCAGAAAUUGCUGAUAAAACAGUCAGAUAACCACAUGCAAAAGUAACAACAAAAACUAAAAAAAAAAAAAAAAAAAAAAAAUGAAAAACUGUAGUUCAUACCUCCCAUCAUAUACAAUAAUCAAAUAGGCUGUAGGCCUACAUUUAAAACAUAAAACUAUAAAGCUUCUAGAAAGAAAACAUCAAAACAAAUGUUUAUGAUCUUGAGUUAGGCAAAAGUAUUUUAGUCACAACACUGUCAUGAGUUGAAUUGUGUCCCCACAAAAAAAAAAAAAAGUUGAUGUCCUAACCCCUAGUACUUCAGAAUGUGAUAUUACUUGAAAAUAAGGUCUUCACAUAGGUAAUCAAGUUAAAAUAAGUUCAUUAAAGGGAACUUAAUACAAUAUGAUUAGUGUCUUUGUACAAAGGGAAGAUGUGGAUAUGACAGAAAUGCACAGACAGAAGACAAUGAAGAGAGACAUAGGGAGAAUGCCAUGUGACAGCCAGGGAUGAGAGUGAUGCAUCCAAUAGUCAAGGGAUGCCAAAGAUGGCCAGCAAACUACCAGAAGCUAGGAGAGAGGCACAGAACAGAUUCUCUCUCACAGCCCUCCAAAGGAGCCGACCCUGUUGACACCUUGAUUUCAGACUUCUAACCUCCAUAACUGUGGAACAAUACAUUUUGGUUAUUUUAAGCCACUCACCUAGUUUGCGGAACUUUGUUACAGCAGUCCUAGGAAACUAAUAUUUAAUACAAAUACCAUAAACAUGAUCUAUACAUUAAAAAAUAACAAAAAAGAAAUACUGGACGUCAUCAAAAUUAAGAACCUGUGCUCAUCUGGGCGCAGUAGCUCAUGCCUGUAAUCCCUGCACUUUGGGAGGCCAGGUGGGCAGAUCACCAGGUCAAGAGAUCAAGACCAUCCUGGCCAACAUGAUGAAACUCUGUCUGUACUAUAAAUACAAAAAUAAGCUGGGCGUUAUGGUGGGUGCCUGUAAUCCCAGCUACUCGGGAGGCUGAGGCAGGAGAAUCACUUGAACUCGGGAGGUGGAGGUUGCAGUGAGCCAAGAAAUGAGAACAUAUAAAUAUACAAGAACUUGUAUCUGAAUGCUCAUGCAACUUUAUUUGAAAUAGCCCAAAACUGAAAACAAUCUAAAUGUGAAAAACUGCUCAGUGCAAAACCAAAUUGUUAUAUAUAACUAUACAGUGGCAUACUACUCAGCAAUAAAAAGGAAUGGACUGUUUUCAUAUACAACAACAGUCUUAAAUAAUUAAGCAGAGUGAAGGUAGAAACCUGGCAAAAUUUAUAUACUGCAUGCCUUCAUUUUUAAAUAGUCAUCCACAAUGCAC
rnacentral:lncRNA from 1 species